GAGAGAAGAGUAAGCGAAAUCCGUCCUCCAGGACCUACUCCCCCGGCCAGCUCCGAGAGUAAAUGUCUCCUUUUUGAGCUGAAACGGACUGCUCUGUGGCUCCCACUCUUUGUUACUUUGCCGUCUGAAGCACCUCGGAAUUUAGCCAGUUCCAUUUUUCCCCUUGGAUGAGAAGAAAUCCCCGCACAGAACCUUCUGAGAUGAGGUCCAGGGUGAGUAUUCCAGGUCAACCAUCCCGUUAUGUGGACGCCCCGGUCCUGGGGUCCCGUCAUGAAGACGACUGUGGUCUCCCAGACCCAUCAAACAGGAGUCUCGUUUGAAUCGCAUGAGAGGACAAAGACCCUGCUGGGACAAGUCCUAGUCUAGUCGGCUGGCUCCCAGGGCACCGCGUGCAGGGGCCUCGCGCCCAGCCCUUCAGACCAGGGUUCCGGGUGCAAAACAGCCGCGCCAACAGCUCAGCUCAGGGCGCUACACAGAAGGUCCGGCCCGCCGCACUCAGUUCAAGAUGGCGGGCGAGCCGUGUGCAGAGACGCUGCGCCUGGCGCCGAGAUCAGGGGGCGUGAGCAGCAGCUGCGCCUGGCUGCUGGCGAGAACCCCACCCCCUCCCCACUAAAGCAGCCCCAAUCGGGCCUGUUGGGAGAGCGUGCUCUGGAGCAUGAGGUCCCACCUCCCCAUUCUUUGAUCAAAGAAUAAAGCUUUCCUUUGCU